CUACGGGAGGCAGCAGUAGGGAAUAUUGGACAAUGGGCGAAAGCCUGAUCCUGCAACGCCGCGUGUGCGAUGACGGCCUUCGGGUUGUAAAGCACUUUUAGAGGAGAUGAGAAAGGACAGUAUCCUCAGAAUAAGCCUCGGCGAACUACGUGCCAGCAGCCGCGGUAAAACGUAGGAGGCAAGCGUUAUCCGGAUUUAUUGGGCGUAAAGCGCGUGCAGGCGGUCUAGCAAGUUGGAUGUGAAAGCUCCCGGCUUAACCGGGAGUGGUCGUUCAAUACUGUUAGACUAGAGAAUGGGAGAGGGAGGUGGAAUUCUGGGUGUAGUGGUGAAAUGCGUAGAUAUCCAGAGGAACACCAGUGGCGAAAGCGGCCUCCUGGACCAUUUCUGACGCUAAGACGCGAAAGCUAGGGUAGCAAACGGGAUUAGAUACCCUAGUAGUC
rnacentral:rRNA from 1 species